GCUCCCGUGGCGGAAUUGGCAGACGCGCAUGGCUUAGGACCAUGUCUCUUACGAGGUGAAGGUUCAAAUCCUUCCGGGAGCA
rnacentral:tRNA from 1 species